AUUGAACGCUGGCGGCAGGCCUAACACAUGCAAGUCGAGCGGAUGAAGGGAGCUUGCUCCUGGAUUCAGCGACGGACGGGUGAGUAAUGCCUAGGAAUCUGCCUGGUAGUGGGGGAUAACGUCCGGAAACGGGCGCUAAUACCGCAUACGUCCUGAGGGAGAAAGUGGGGGAUCUUCGGACCUCACGCUAUCAGAUGAGCCUAGGUCGGAUUAGCUAGUUGGUGGGGUAAAGGCCUACCAAGGCGACGAUCCGUAACUGGUCUGAGAGGAUGAUCAGUCACACUGGAACUGAGACACGGUCCAGACUCCUACGGGAGGCAGCAGUGGGGAAUAUUGGCCAAUGGGCGAAAGCCUGAUCCAGCCAUGCCGCGUGUGUGAAGAAGGUCUUCGGAUUGUAAAGCACUUUAAGUUGGGAGGAAGGGCAGUAAGUUAAUACCUUGCUGUUUUGACGUUACCAACAGAAUAAGCACCGGCUAACUUCGUG
rnacentral:rRNA from 1 species